GGAGGAAAAGAAACUAACAAGGAUUCCCCUAGUAACUGCGAGUGAAGCGGGAAAAGCUCAAAUUUUGAAUCUGGCGGUCGUUCGGCCGUCCGAGUUGUAAUCUAGAGAAGCGUCUUCCGCGCUGGACCGUGUACAAGUCUCCUGGAAGGGAGCGUCAUAGAGGGUGAGAAUCCCGUCUUUGACACGGACCGCCAGUGCUAUGUGAUGCGCUCUCGACGAGUCGAGUUGUUUGGGAAUGCAGCUCAAAAUGGGUGGUAAAUUCCAUCUAAAGCUAAAUACAGGCGAGAGACCGAUAGCGAACAAGUACCGUGAGGGAAAGAUGAAAAGAACUUUGGAAAGAGAGUUAAACAGUACGUGAAAUUGCUGAAAGGGAAACGCUUGAUGUCAGUCGCGUCGGCCAGGGAUCAACCUUGCUUCUCGCUGGGUGCAUUUCCUGGUCAACGGGUCAGCAUCGGUUUCGGUCGCCGUACAAUGGCAGAGGGAACGUGGCACUCCUCGGAGUGUGUUAUAGCCUUUCGUCGUAUGCAGUGGUCGGGACUGAGGAACUCGGCAUGACCUUCAGGUCUGUGUCUAGGAUGCUGGCAUAAUGGCCUUAAGCGACCCGUCUUGAAACACGGACCAAGGAGUCUAACAUGCCUGCGAGUGUUUGGGUGGCAAACUCGAGCGCGCAACGAAAGUGAAAGUCGAGACCUCUGUCCGUGGAGGGCAUCGAC
rnacentral:rRNA from 1 species